rnacentral:sRNA from 1 species
AUGUACUUAACUCAUCACCCAGCUUCAACAUUUAUCAACAUCUUGCCAAUCUUAUUGAAUCUAUCCUUCCUUACCUUUUUUAAAAAUGUUUCCUAGAGUAUGUCAAAGCUCAUCCCAGAUGUCCUAAUGUUUCUAGUAAAUGCUUCUGCACAAUUCUAAAAGACAAGGAUGUUUUUAAACCCAGCCCCGACACUAUCAUACCUCACAAGAUUCAUGCUAAUUCCUCAGUGUCUUCUAGUCCCAAGUCCAUGCUCAAGUGUCCCCCGCUGUCCAGGCACCCUCUUCAGGGGUCCUCCAUGUUUCAUAGUGAGAAGGGACCCUCAGGGUUGGGCACCCCGGGCAGGCUGGCUGGAGGGGGCUUUGGAAAGGAAGGCUUUGGCGAGGGUGUGAGGGUGCAGGUCCUCACCAGCUCCUGUUUGGUCUGUUUCAGGAACAAAUGUGGUAUCUGGGGCUGGCGGUCGGAGAAGAUGGAAACUGUUAGCGGCUACGAGGCCAAGGCAGGAGAGGCCGGGGGUGGGGGCCAGGGGUAGGCGAUGAGGUCCAGGAACUCAAGGGUGGGGGCGGGGGUAGGCGAUGAGGUCCAGGAACUAGCUCCUCUCCACAUCCAUCCCAGAGUAGCCUUUGGGCUCUGGAAACCCUGAGCAUUUGUGGGAACUCAGCGGGCCUGAGUGCCCAGCCCCUGUGGAAUACAUAGGGCUCACCCACAUCACGGACCCCUACCCAGGGUACCGAGAUCAAAAGAGGAGUGUGUUCCUCUUGACCCUGGGGCUGCAUCUCCUCGUUGGUGACUUCCCGGGGUUCAGACCCUGCCACCUCCUCCAUUUUGGGGAGCAAGAUCUCAUCUGUCUCUGGGACAGGAGGACCUGGGUUCUGCACUGGUGAGGCUGAGUGUGGGAAGCAGGCUCUGAGCCCCCAGCUCCCCGUGUCCCCUGCUCCCCAGGUGUAUAGUGCCACCAACGUGGAGCUGGUGACACGCACGCGCACGGAGCACCUCUCUGAUCAGGACAAGUCGAGGAGCAAAGGUAAACCCAGCGGGGAAGACUCCGUUCCAGUCCUUCCUGGGGAUGGCCCAGCAGCAUUCCUCCCACACCGGGGCCCCCGUGCAGCAGGCAGCCAGCCCCACCAACCCCACAGCCAUCUCCCCUGAGGAGUACUUCGACCCCAACUUCAGCCUGGAGUCACGGAACAUUGGCCGCCCUAUCGAGAUGUCCAGCAAAGUACAGAGGUUCAAGGCAACACUGUGGCUGAGCGAAGAGCACCCGCUCUCCCUGGGUGACCAGGUGACGCCCAUCAUCGACCUAAUGGCCAUCAGCAACGCUCACUUUGCCAAGCUGCGCGACUUCAUCACCCUGCACCUUCCACCUGGCUUCCCCGUCAAAAUUGAGAUUCCCCUUUUCCACGUGCUCAACGCCCGCAUCACCUUCAGCAACCUGUGUGGCUGUGACGAGCCCCUGAGCUCCGUGUGGGUGCCGGCCCCCAGCUCUGCUGUCGCCGCGUCAGGGAACCCUUUCCCGUGCGAGGUGGACCCCACUGUGUUUGAAGUGCCCGAGGGGUACAGCGUGCUAGGCACGGAGCGCAGCGAGCCCCUCCGAGACGAGGACGAUGACCUCCUGCAGUUCGCCAUCCAGCAGAGCCUGCUUGAAGCGGGCACCGAGGUGGAGCAGGUGGGACUUGCGCAGGGGGUGGGCUCUGGCCUCUGCAGCCACAGGGCAGAAGUGACAGUUGUGGGCUCCGGUGGCUGCAGGUGACCGUCUGGGAAGCCCUGACCAACACCCGGCCCGGUGCCCGCCCUCCUCCCCAGGCCACGGUUUAUGAGGAACAGCUUCAGCUGGAGCGGGCCCUCCAGGAAAGCCUGCGGCUGUCCACAGAGCCCAGGGGCCCAGGAUCCCCUCCCAGGACACCCCCAGUCCCCGGCCCACCCAGCUUUGAAGAGCAGCUGCGCCUGGCCCUGGAGUUGUCUUCACGGGAGCAGGAGGAGCGGGAGCGACGCGGGCAGCAGGAGGAGGAGGACUUACAGCGGAUCCUGCAGCUGUCACUCACCGAGCACUGAGCCACAGCCCCGGGAGGGCUGGCCAGGCCACUCCCUGCCCGCUUUUGUAAUUUAUUUAUUUAUAAACUCUCUGCUGCUGAGCUUGGGGCCUGGAGCCCCAGGAAUGGGCAGGCAGGGGAGACUGAGAUGGAAAUAAAGAGACUGCCGCAGC